rnacentral:rRNA from 1 species
AGAGUUUGAUCCUGGCUCAGGACGAACGCUGGCGGCGUGCCUAACACAUGCAAGUCGAACGGGGAGUUAGCAAUAACUCCUAGUGGCGAACGGGUGAGUAACGCGUAGACAACCUACCUUCUAGAUGGGGACAACACCGCGAAAGUGGUGCUAAUACCGAAUGUUGUACGAUGGGAGCAUUUUUGUUGUACUAAAGGUGG